UUGGGCAUAGCCUCGAUCCCAGGCCGAGUUUUCGCUUUUAUAACGGUUAGGCGAACAACUGGGCCUGGUACUAGUUGUCUGCGCAUGCGUCAGUCGUUUGUCAGAUUCUGACGAAUGGAUAUUCUCGUUCACUUUCGUGACAUUUAUAUUCGUGUACUAUCGUGUACUAGAAGUCAGUUCCCGUUUUAUCAUUAUUGGAAUCGAUUGGAAUGGCUCUUAGCUGAAGCUUCUCUCUUCUCUGAAGCUUAUUCUGAAGACUGAACAACAAGGGAAGAGGUAUAAAGCUUUGUCAAGCUUGUUAAGGUCAGAUAUUUUUGUGUGGGCCCUAUGGCCGGCUAUGCUAUCAAGUCUUGUUCAUGUUUGGCAAGAAUGUAGGUAGACUAUAGUUUCAUCUAUGGUGGAUCAAGUGAAGAGUGUGAGCUAGAGAACUUGGUGCUGCCAUCAUCAGCUCGUUGACAAUGACACUAUAACCGAGAAAUUUAAUAUGUAUAGAUCUACACGUAUUUAAAAUGUCUACUUCUCUGUACAGGAGCAAUGGCUAAUAUCCAACUAUCCCAACAGUGCUCCUCUUGGCUAUACUAACGGACGAGACUGGACAGUUUGAGACACAGGACUGGAGUAUGACCUGCUCAUUUGAGCGUUGCUGGGUAGCUCAGAGACAUCAAGAGAAUCUACGUUUUCUCAAGCAAUGAGUUACGAGUUGGGGCCUAGAAUCAGAGAAGUCCAGCAGCCUGCUAAAUUUUUUUGAAACGUAAUUUGAAGGCAUUCAAUCAUCCUGAAGUUGCCCUGGGUCACUGUAAUUGUGCUGCAGCACAACUGGCAACUCCCCAGGCCUUUGUGAAGCAGCUCCCUAUGUGCAUCUUUUGUGUACUCACUCUGUGCAUUUUCUGUGUACAAAUUUCUAUUAUUGAUUUAUUAAAUAUUUUUGCCGACCACAAA